GAAUUUUGGACAAUGGGCGAAAGCCUGCUCCAGCAAUGCCGCGUGCAGGAAGAAGGCCUUCGGGUUGUAAAGCCCUUUUGUUGGGAAAGAAAAGCAGUCGGCUAAUACCCGGUUGUUCUGACGGUACCCAAAGAAUAAGCCCCGGCAUACUUCUUCCCAGCAUCCGCGGUAAAACGAAGGGUGCAAGCGUUACUCGGAAUUACUGGGCGUAAAGCGUGCGUAGGUGGUUGUUUAAGUCUGUUGUGAAAGGCCUGGGCUCAACCUGGGAAUUGCAGUGGAGACUGGGCGACUAGAGCGUGGUAGAGGGUAGUGGAAUUCCCGGUGUAGCAGUGAAAUGCGUAGAGAUCGGGAGGAACAUCCAUGGCGAAGGCAGCUACCUGGACCAACACGGACACUGAGGCACGAAAGCGUGGGGAGCAAACAGG
rnacentral:rRNA from 1 species